CCUCCCAGGACGCUGGCAGCAGCAACCCGAAGCCCCCGAACCCUCGGCAGGUCUGCCUGUCCUUCCCCGCGAUCUGAUUGGAUAAAGUGGGGGCUCGACGGUGGCCGACGUGGGACAGUCUGGCUGUGGCAGGGGUCUCGGAAACCAUGGGUUAUUGCAGUGGCAGGUGCACGCUUAUCUUUAUCUGUGGCAUGCAACUGGUUUGCGUGCUGGAGAGGCAAAUAUUUGACUUCCUUGGAUAUCAGUGGGCACCUAUCCUGGCAAAUUUUGUACAUAUUAUUAUCGUCAUUCUUGGCUUAUUUGGAACUAUUCAAUAUAGACCUCGUUAUGUAACAGGAUAUGCUGUCUGGCUAGUCUUCUGGGUUACGUGGAAUGUGUUCGUUAUCUGCUUCUAUUUGGAGGCUGGAGACCUCUCAAAGGAAACAGACCUUAUCCUGACUUUUAACAUUUCGAUGCACCGAUCUUGGUGGAUGGAGAAUGGACCGGGAUGCAUGGUGACAUCAGUGACACCCGCCCCGGACUGGGCCCCCGAGGACCAUCGCUACAUCACGGUCUCAGGGUGUUUUCUGGAGUACCAGUACAUAGAAGUUGCUCACAGUUCCCUCCAGAUUGUCCUCGCACUGGCAGGGUUCAUCUAUGCCUGUUAUGUUGUGAAAUGUAUAACUGAAGAAGAGGACAGCUUUGAUUUUAUAGGUGGCUUUGAUUCUUAUGGCUACCAAGGACCACAGAAGACAUCUCAUUUACAACUACAGCCCAUGUACAUGCAAAUUCCCUUGGAUAACAACUGAUAACAAAUUCUAUAUAUCAGCAUCAAGUGAUAUGCUGAAUUGCAAGCGAAGAUCAAAAUAGAAAGUCAAAAUAAUCAAGAUGACUUCAGUAUGUCAGCUCAAGGACCUUUCAAAGAACUUGUUUUGCUGUGGCCUCCUGCAUUUUAUAAAGAGCAAGAAGCAACCAAGUUUAAAUAUACAUGCAUACUAUAUUCAUGCAUAUUAUAUACGAAACAAACAAAAAGCCUCCACAUGCAGGCGCGCACACACACACACACACACACACACACACACACACACAAAAUUCUUUUUGGCCGCCUCUUUCCAACUGAAACAGACAGAAAUGCAGGAGACGCCCAACUUUGAUUUCCUGGAAGGAGGCUUCUCUCUCCCAACCCGUCAUAAAGUUCCAAAGCAGAUGUUUUGGCGUCCUCUGCUGGCCGUUACAAACUCCUCUGCAGCCCAGCCAGCAGGCCUCUUGGGAGCUGCGAAGUCAUCCGGGGCCGAGUAGUUUGAGAGCCUGGUCUUCCGCUCUUCCGUAUGUCUUGCUAGCACUACAGCUGCUUAGGCACUGUAACUGCACAAACAACAAAACAUGCGGUGAUCACCUUGUAGCCGAAGUCCGAAAUGGCAGGUUGCCUGCCCUAAAGGCUGUCCCGUACAUACUUGCCUUAACCCACCUCAGUUGUGCGGCCGAGAAUCUCACACAGAUGUCCCCAAGUCACCUCCUUGAGGCUAACACACUGCUGCUUACCCCGAUGAGUCUGGGUCUGUUGUGUUUCAUGUCAACGAACAAGACGGCAGUGUGUCUGUGUAAGGAAACUGCCAGCUGUCAGCAAAGUGCUUUAACACUGAGCCUCCAUAGUGGGCAAAAAGAAACAAGUAACAACAAUAAUUGUCCACCUUUAUAAUUCUUAAAUAUGGUCUUCUGAUAGGGUUGGGGUGGGACAAAAUGAAACUGAUUAACCAACUAAACUCAUAAUCUCCCGGAAGCAGAAAGCAGAAAUGGCUUAACCCACUGAUUUUAUUUAUCGCACCCUAGGUGCUUUUAUAAGUAUCUACAAAUAUUAUCUUUUACUAACGCAGAAAUAGCUGUGGAUUUCUAUCAACAGAGGCCAACUGAAUAUGUAUUAGCUAUGUUUACUCUUUUAUAUCUAAUUCAAACUGGAGACUCUAUGUAGGUGAUCUUUCUUUUCUAACUUCAGCGUACAAGAUUAUUUUUUGGGUGGGUGGGGGGAGCAAUAGUUACCUUGGUGAAAUACUUGAGAUCUCUUUGUGGUAUUUGGGGGAUCUGUUGUGUGUUUGAGUGUAUUUUAAUCCUCCUGUAUUAUUGUGGCAGAAAAACUGUGCUGUUAACGUAGUUGGCAACAAGAUGCCUUUGGAAACUUAAUAGUAGGUCAAUGUGUUUAUGGAAUAUUCUGAACUCCUAGGAAAUUUUGUUUUAUAUUUUCAAGCAUUAUUUUGUUUUCAUUAGUGGAAAACAUCAUUGGCUCCCACUUAUCAGGAACUCAGAUGAGUCUUAUGUCUUUUCUUGAGACCACCUGAGACUCCAAAAUCUUUUUUCUUUCUAAUACACCAUCCUUAAAUGUGGUGAAAUUCAGAUUUGGAAAGUUAUGAAUUGGCAUGGAGCAUCUUUUUUUUCCCCCCUUUAAUUUCUGUGACAUUUCAAUUGUUGGGUUAACCUACUUUGAACCUCAACCCAUCCAGAUCUACCUAAGCCAGUACCAUUACUGUGUUUGCAUGGAUGUCUGUGAUACACACAUAAAUAUUUAAAAAUGGUAAAGGAACACAAGGUUACUCUUGGAGCAGAAGCUAUGAAAAAAAGGUUCUGCCAUGCGUGUUUGAAUUUUCUCAGUGGCUUGUAUAUGUCCAUAUAUACAUGUAUAAAAUAUACAAUUGCAAACAUGUCAGUGAAACCUCAUAUGAUUUUAUUGUGACAUGCAUGUUUAAUAUAUGAGAAAAGUAUUAACCAAUGUAUUGUCUUUUGAUUCCUAAAGUAUAAAUACUAUACAUGCCAGAAACUAUUCUGUGACUAUUCUAAUGAGGUUUCACUGUACAUUCAUGCUGUGAUGAGAUUCCACCUGAUAGUACAUGUAUAUGGAUACAGAUUUGAGUGCACAGAAUAAGCCCUCACGUUCCUGCUUUAAGUUGCAGCCAAGUUACCAACAAAUCACUACUAUCAUCACCACCAAAAUUUUCAAAACAGUUGUUGACUACUAAAAAGUAAUCGAUGGACAGGAUUUUUCUGGGAGCGGUAAGCACAGUUGUGUGAUUAUAUCUGGAAAAAACAUCUAAAUUUUACAGCUGUAUCCUCCUCAAAAUCUGGUGAAGAAUGCUAUUUUUCUAGGCUGAGCUUUUGUUAUAAACCUAAUAUUCAGAAGGCAAGAGUUACAAUCCUGAUGUGUCUUUUUUUUGCAUUUGUUAAUUCUAAAUGUAUUUUUAACAGAGUGAUUUUUUUGACUUACUAGUGUAAUUUGCAUUUUAAAAAUAAAUGGAAAAACAAUUAAAUUUCUGAGCCAUCCCUGAAAGCUUCUGCUGCUUCUCACAGUGUAUUUGAUUAUGUCACAGAGAGGGAAGCCAUAUUAGGUUUACAUGAAGGCGAUGCUGAUCUUCUAGACAGUGCAGGUAUGUGUCAGAUGUGGAAAGAAACUACCAGGUCAUGGCACCAUUUAGCUCAGUCAUAAGUAACAUGCGCUGUCGUUAUCUCCUGAUACUAAAGGGCUCUGUUACAAGACUGCUUGGAACCGACUUGCUGUCAUUUAAACAUUUUUUUAAAAAUUUUGCCUUCUGUCUGAGAUUUAGAGUUAGCAUCAGUAUAAUAGUUGACAGAGAUAUUAGAUACUGU